GAUGAAGAACGUAGCGAAAUGCGAUAAGUAAUGUGAAUUGCAGAAUUCAGUGAAUCAUCGAAUCUUUGAACGCACAUUGCGCCCGCCAGUAUUCUAGCGGGCAUGCCUGUUCGAGCGUCAUUUCAACCAUCAAGCCCCCGGGCUUGUGUUGGGGACCUGCGGCUGCCGCAGGCCCUGAAAAGCAGUGGCGGGCUCGCUGUCACACCGAGCGUAGUAGAUUUUAUCUCGCUCAGGGCGUGCUGCGGGUUCCGGCCGUUAAACCACCUUCAUAACCCAAGGUUGACCUCGGAUCAGGUAGGAAGACCCGCUGAACUUAAGCAUAUCAAUAAGCGGAGGA
rnacentral:misc_RNA from 1 species